GAUAAACGCUGGCGGCGUGCCUAAUACAUGCAAGUCGAGCGAACGGACGAGAAGCUUGCUUCUCUGAUGUUAGCGGCGGACGGGUGAGUAACACGUGGAUAACCUACCUAUAAGACUGGGAUAACUUCGGGAAACCGGAGCUAAUACCGGAUAAUAUUUUGAACCGCAUGGUUCAAAAGUGAAAGACGGUCUUGCUGUCACUUAUAGAUGGAUCCGCGCUGCAUUAGCUAGUUGGUAAGGUAACGGCUUACCAAGGCAACGAUGCAUAGCCGACCUGAGAGGGUGAUCGGCCACACUGGAACUGAGACACGGUCCAGGCUCCUACGGGAGGCAGCAGUAGGGAAUCUUCCGCAAUGGGCGAAAGCCUGACGGAGCAACGCCGCGUGAGUGAUGAAGGUCUUCGGAUCGUAAAACUCUGUUAUUAGGGAAGAACAUAUGUGUAAGUAACUGUGCACAUCUUGACGGUACCUAAUCAGAAAGCCACGGCUAACUACGUGCCAGCAGCCGCGGUAAUACGUAGGUGGCAAGCGUUAUCCGGAAUUAUUGGGCGUAAAGCGCGCGUAGGCGGUUUUUUAAGUCUGAUGUGAAAGCCCACGGCUCAACCGUGGAGGGUCAUUGGAAACUGGAAAACUUGAGUGCAGAAGAGGAAAGUGGAAUUCCAUGUGUAGCGGUGAAAUGCGCAGAGAUAUGGAGGAACACCAGUGGCGAAGGCGACUUUCUGGUCUGUAACUGACGCUGAUGUGCGAAAGCGUGGGGAUCAAACAGGAUUAGAUACCCUGGUAGUCCACGCCGUAAACGAUGAGUGCUAAGUGUUAGGGGGUUUCCGCCCCUUAGUGCUGCAGCUAACGCAUUAAGCACUCCGCCUGGGGAGUACGACCGCAAGGUUGAAACUCAAAGGAAUUGACGGGGACCCGCACAAGCGGUGGAGCAUGUGGUUUAAUUCGAAGCAACGCGAAGAACCUUACCAAAUCUUGACAUCCUUUGACAACUCUAGAGAUAGAGCCUUCCCCCUCGGGGGACAAAGUGACAGGUGGUGCAUGGUUGUCGUCAGCUCGUGUCGUGAGAUGUUGGGUUAAGUCCCGCAACGAGCGCAACCCUUAAGCUUAGUUGCCAUCAUUAAGUUGGGCACUCUAAGUUGACUGCCGGUGACAAACCGGAGGAAGGUGGGGAUGACGUCAAAUCAUCAUGCCCCUUAUGAUUUGGGCUACACACGUGCUACAAUGGACAAUACAAAGGGCAGCGAAACCGCGAGGUCAAGCAAAUCCCAUAAAGUUGUUCUCAGUUCGGAUUGUAGUCUGCAACUCGACUACAUGAAGCUGGAAUCGCUAGUAAUCGUAGAUCAGCAUGCUACGGUGAAUACGUUCCCGGGUCU
rnacentral:rRNA from 1 species